GCCAUGCUGACGAGUCCUAAAAAGGACGAAACAGCUGUCCAUGGU
rfam:Nematostella vectensis strain CH2 x CH6 NEMVEscaffold_12_Cont2491, whole genome shotgun sequence.